AGAAUCAACGCUGGCGGCGUGCCUAACACAUGCAAGUCGAACGAGAAAGUGGAGCAAUCCAUGAGUAAAGUGGCGACCGGGUGAGUAACACGUGACUAACCUACCUUCGAGUGGGGGAUAACCUCGGGAAACCGGGGCUAAUACCGCAUAACAUCUUUGAAGUGGAAAUUUCGGAGAUCAAAGGAGCAAUUCGCUGGAAGAGGGGGUCGCGGCUGAUUAGCUAGUUGGCGGGGUAACGCCCACCAAGGCUUAGAUCGGUAGCCGGCCUGAGAGGGCGCACGGCCACACUGGAACUGAAACACGGUCCAGACUCCUACGGGAGGCAGCAGUGGGGAAUUUUGCGCAAUGGGGGAAACCCUGACGCAGCAACGCCGCGUGGAGGAUGAAGCCCCUUGGGGUGUAAACUCCUUUCGAUCGGGAAGAUAAUGACGGUACCGAUAUAAGAAGCCCCGGCUAACUUCGUGCCAGCAGCCGC
rnacentral:rRNA from 1 species